CUGUCUUCUGUCAUUUCAUCUCUAUAUUGCAUGUCUUCUUCCGUCUUAGUUAUGAUGGUUAGGUUUAUCCUAGCUUUUUUUUAAUAAAAUCCUUUGGUAAAUUGCUCAUAUUUCCAACAGGAAAUCCGACAGUAUUAUGAUAAGUUCAACCAAGUUAUCAAAAAGGUUUUGUCAUGUUUCAAUUAAUCCGAAGAAAAGUUCACCAACGAUUUUGAAACAGUUUGGCACAGGCAACAAAAGUCCUGCUAAAGUUGUCUCCUGUUUGAGUAAAUCAAUUAUCAUUCUACAGAAAGUUCUUCAACAAUAUCAAAACAGUUUGUCAGAGGCAAGUAAAAAGUGCUACCCAAGGUCACAUCACAGACAAAACAAGCAAAAUAAGUAUAAUGACCUGCGUCAAAUCCUUAGCUGUUUCCAUCACGUCAAGGAAAACCAUGAGUUUGUGUCUGAUCUAUUCCAGCUUAACCAAAAAUGAAAAAGGAUCCUGCACUAAAGCGGCCGGAAAACCAGGGAGCAUCUAAACAAUAACAAAGCUCUCGGAUUCCAACAAAAUGAACAUGCCUCACAGUACAGUAUAAGAACAUAAAUGAAGAGCUAGAUGAAGUCCUUUGCAUUAGCCCGUUUAAGCGCGUAUGGUGUAAAGUGUAAAGUCUCUAAUCUAAAUUGGGAAGUCAGCAAAAUAUAAGAAAGUAGGAGUACUUCUCAAGCGCACACAAUAGAUAAAUCGUUUCCUAUGUAUAUAGUUGCCACAUGCACAGGCUUUGCAAUCAAUUCCAUCCUCAAAUAAAUAUUUAACUGCAAGAAAAAUUGUAUUAAAAAAAGUUAAUCUGAGAAGCACAUAACUAUUGGCGUUCAACAUACAAAGUUCUUUACAAUACACAUAGAACAAAUAAAAUGAAGAGCGCCAAAGCAAACAACUUCGGAGAAAAAGAAACAGAUAUAAGCCAAGUACAGUAGCAGUAAGAUCCGCAACCUGCAACAAAAAAUGAUGACCCUAAGCACAGGGAUUAUUUUUAUUUUAUUUUUUAACACGGAAGCACAAACUGUUUUCCUAAAAAUACACAGUCAAGUUGCCUCGAAUAAAAUAGUGCAGAAUUAAAGGCCUUGCGAAAUCAACCUAUCUUCUGGUGCUGGCGUUCCCUGUUCUCUAUGGGCGAGACGAGGAGAGGCACGACCCGAUCUGGAUAUGCCUAGAGCUAGACAAGCACGCGAUAUGAAUACCUAUAUCACAUCACACAAACGAGACAACAAUAAAAGCUACUCAAUCGACCAAAAAUCCAUCGACCUAAUUCACAAGUAAAAUUCCAAGAUUGCACCAAGAGACGGGGAGAGGCACGACCCGAUCUGGAUAUGCCUGGAGCUAGACAAGCACGCGAUAUGAAUACCUAUAUCACAUCACACAAACGAAACAACAAUAAAAGCUACUCAAUCGACCAAAAAUCCAUCGACCUAAUUCACAAGUAAAAUUCCAAGAUUGCACCAAGAGACACAUGCACUAAGUGCUUGGCUGGAUCUUACUCGCACAAGAACUAAAAGUAGAAGGCAGAUGGCUCAUGGGUGGUUGGAUCUCACCUGCGCUUUUUCCUAUUCAGACGAUGGAUUCAACACAUUCAGCAGAUGCAACAUCUCCUCCUGUGGCCGUGGCAGCAUGUUUUGUUGCCUUCCCAAAUCCCAAGAGAGGUUUCUCCACGUUCAUAUGUAGCAUGAAUCUCCUUCGCGCUGGAGCACAGAUCCGGUUUGAUGGAUCUUAUAUGCUACAGCCUGGAGCAGAAAUCCAUGACCCCGACAACAAAAUCGCCUGGCUGGAGUCCUACACGAUCCAAGAUCCAUCACACUGGCAUGUAGGUAAUCGCACUGGAAUUAAAACACAAAUAAUCAAGGGAAGAAAAGAGAGCAGCAAGAACAAAAGAGAAUAAAAGUAGAUUUUAUAGAAGAACGGAUGAGAACAUGGGAAAUGAAACCUAAAUACGCAAGCCAGCAACGCCUGCUCGCGGUGGAUAUGGCCGUCAAGAUUGUCGGAGGGGCACUGGGUGGAUCUGGCCCUGAGGACGAGAAGGAGAAGGUGGUGGUCGUCGCCGUGGUGGGGCUCGUUCGAAGCAGCAGCCUGUGAUCGGAUCCAAAGACUAAAACUAGUGACUAAAAAUAGUCUCUUUGAUAGGCUAAAGUUCCAACCACCCCUGACUAAAGAGAGACUAAAACUAGUCUUGAGGCUAAAAUCCUUUAGUCAAGGGUACCCCUACUAAAAUGUGGAUUAGUCCUCUCUUUUCUCAUUUAACUUCUCUCGUUUAACACAUGCGAGUUCUGGAUUGGAGGAUUUGGAGGAUAAUAAAUGUUCAUUAACUUGAUUUUAGUCUCUUUUGUAGGCUAGCAAGUUUUAGUCCCACUAAUUUUAG
rnacentral:lncRNA from 1 species